rnacentral:rRNA from 1 species
CGCGUAGGCGGGCUAUCAAGUCCGGGGUGAAAUCCUCCAGCUUAACUGGAGAAUGGCCUCGGAUACUGAUGGUCUCGAGGAGGAUAGGGGCACACGGAACUGUGGGUGGAGCGGUGAAAUGCGUUGAUAUCCAUAGGAACUCCGGUGGCGAAAGCGGUGUGCUGGAUCCUUUCUGACGCUGAGGCGCGAAAGCCAGGGAGCAAACG